GAUGAACGCUAGCGGCAGGCCUAAUACAUGCAAGUCGAGGGGCAGCAUUCACUUCGGUGAGAUGGCGACCGGCGCACGGGUGCGUAACGCGUAUGCAACCUACCCUUUACUGCGGGAUAGCCCGGGGAAACUCGGAUUAAUACCGCAUGGUACCAAUUGAGGGCAUCUAAAGAUGGUUAAAGAUUUAUCGGUAAAGGAUGGGCAUGCGUGACAUUAGCUAGUUGGUGAGGUAAUGGCUCACCAAGGCAACGAUGUCUAGGGGUUCUGAGAGGAUGAUCCCCCACACUGGCACUGAGAUACGGGCCAGACUCCUACGGGAGGCAGCAGUAGGGAAUAUUGGUCAAUGGGCGAAAGCCUGAACCAGCCAUGCCGCGUGCAGGAAGACGGCCUUCUGGGUUGUAAACUGCUUUUAUCAGGGAACAAAAAGCUCCUGCGGGAGAAAUUGCGUGUACCUGAAGAAUAAGGACCGGCUAACUCCG
rnacentral:rRNA from 1 species